rnacentral:rRNA from 1 species
UACGUAGGGCGCAAGCGUUGUCCGGAAUUAUUGGGCGGUAAAGAAGCUCGUAGGCGGCUUGUCACGUCGGGUGUGAAAGCCCGGGGCUUAACCCCGGGUCUGCAUUCGAUACGGGCUGGCUAGAGUGUGGUAGGGAGAUCGGAAUUCCUGGUGUAGCGGUGAAAUGCGCAGAUAUCAGGAAGAACACCCGUGGCGAAGGCGGCCAGCCUAGACCAGUUCUGACACUGAGGCGCGACAGCGUGGGGAGCAAACAGG